rnacentral:rRNA from 1 species
GACGAACGCUGGCGGCGUGCCUAAUACAUGCAAGUUGAGCGCUGAAGGUUGGUACUUGUACCAACUGGAUGAGCAGCGAACGGGUGAGUAACGCGUGGGGAAUCUGCCUUUGAGCGGGGGACAACAUUUGGAAACGAAUGCUAAUACCGCAUAAAAACUUUAAACACAAGUUUUAAGUUUGAAAGAUGCAAUUGCAUCACUCAAAGAUGACCCCGCGUUGUAUUAGCUAGUUGGUGAGGUAAAGGCUCACCAAGGCGAUGAUACAUAGCCGACCUGAGAGGGGGAUCGGCCAAAAUGGGACUGGGACACGGCCCAAACUCCUACGGGAGGCAGCAGUAGGGAAUCUUCGGCAAUGGACGAAAGUCUGACCGAGCAACGCCGCGUGAGUGAAGAAGGUUUUCGGAUCGUAAAACUCUGUUGGUAGAGAAGAACGUUGGUGAGAGUGGAAAGCUCAUCAAGUGACGGUAACUACCCAGAAAGGGACGGCUAACUACGUG